AGCCAGCACCACGUUCACCCUCCCUUGGCACCCAUCCACAUCCUGGCUCCACCAGCCAGGGUGCUCUCCCCCAGAGCCAGUGGGUGGGAUCUGGAAACUGCCUGCCCAGCAGACGGACAGUGGGAAUGGAGGAGGCGGGACCCAGCCACAAAGAUCAUUGCCACCGAGGAGAGCAGGGGAGCAACCUCCUGGCUGGCAGGGAUGACGGUCACCCUCACAUCACCACACACACUGAGCAAACAAGGAGGCGGAUGCUGAGAGGCAAAGGAGCUGAGAGCAGACGACAAGUGAGUGGGCAGGGAUUCUCCCAAGGACUUGGGUUCCAGAGCCAGGCUUUGAAGUCCGGUCGGCUGAGCACCAACUACGUGCUGGAUGCUGUUGUGGGCACUGGGGAUGCCGUGAAGCACCAGAUCAAAACACUAGGCCACCUCUGAACGCUGGGACAGUGCGGCACGAACCUUCAGCUGAGGGGAUUCCUAGGGGCUCAGAGGGAGAAAGGCCCGACAAGCCACCUGUUCCAGCCUUCUCAAUGCUGUAUCCUCUCUACCACACCCCGGGGAGUGGUACUCUCUCUAGGACAGGAGGCUCACUACCUCGUAAGAGGAACCAUUCCAGAAUAGGCAAUGCUAACAGAAAGGCCCUCCCUAAGCCAAACCGACAUCCUCCUCAUUUCUUCUGCCCUCUGAGACACCCCCAUGAAAUAUCCCAUCACCUAUGACUCCUCUUCACCUACAGCCCUUCAAAUACUUUGUGUUACCCUUAAAUCUUCUCUUCUUAAAGAGUAUAUUUCCUCAGAUUUUAAACCAUUCCUCAGACACUGCCUGGCCUUGCUCUGGCUUGUCAAUGCCCCCAAGGCCUGCUGCUCGGACCGCUGUCCAAAAAUGACCAAGUGACCAUCGAGGACAUGCAGGACGGAAUGUCACCCUGACCUCAAGUUCUGCCUCACCUCAGCCUGGGGAUGGAUGGCAAAGGCCCGGGCAGGAGGAGCCACACGGGUGGAGGGUGAGGACAGUCACAAAGAAAGGAGACACCAGUGUAGACAAGAGCUGUCAGUAAAGGCUUCGUGGAAGAGCCAAUGAAACCUUCCACCACAGAAUUAAAGGUAAGUCACCAUCUCCUGCCAGCAGUGACAAAUGCAUCCCUUUCACAUGGCUUCUCUCAAGAAGACCUACGCACGCUCCAUAAGCCCGGGAAAAGAUGCUCCACACCAUUAGUCAUCAGAGAAAUGCAAAUCAAAGCCCCAGGGAGAAGCCACUUCACAUCCACAAACACGGCUGCCAUUAAAAAGCCAGACAGACAGUGCUGGUGAGGACGUGGGGAACUGCACACACUGCUGGUGGGAAUGCAAAAUGGCACAAAUCUGCUUUACAAAAUAGCUCAGCAGUUUCUUAAAAAGCCUAUUCACCCGUGAUCUAGCAAUUCUACUCUUCGAUAUCCACCCGCAAGGAAUGAAAACAUCGGUCUGCGUAGACUAUGCAUGAACACUCAGAGCGGUGUUACUCACAUGGCUCAGGAGUGAAAACAACUCACUAGCUUUGUAAUGUUUACUUAAUUCUACUUUCAAGGCUCAAACCCCUUUCCCCACAUACACCCCCUGCUGGGCAA